GUCAUCAUAAAACCUCCUAAUGCUGCUCUUAGGCUCUACGGAGGGGCUCCUUUUGAAAGAGUGAUGCAUGAAUUCAGGUGUGCUGCAUAUUCAUUGAAUGCCCCCCAGUGUCAAGAGAAAAGCGGUGCAUUUUCCUUCUUCAAGCAGGUGGCAAAUAUAUUGCUUGCCUACGCUGGCCGAGGAGGGGGUAGAGGUGUAACAGAAGCAGCUGCAGAGAUUGCCCGUGCUGCUG
rnacentral:misc_RNA from 1 species